CCGUGUGCUUACAAGUAGUCAGAGCCCGUUAAUGGGUGAUGGCGUGCCUUUUGUAGAAUGAACCGGCGAGUUACGAUCUGAUGCAAGGUUAAGCAGCAAAUGUGGAGCCGCAGCGAAAGCGAGUCUGAAUAGGGCGUUGAGUAUUUGGUCGUAGACCCGAAACCAGGUGAUCUACCCUUGGUCAGGUUGAAGUUCAGGUAACACUGAAUGGAGGACCGAACCGACUUACGUUGAAAAGUGAGCGGAUGAACUGAGGGUAGCGGAGAAAUUCCAAUCGAACUUGGAGAUAGCUGGUUCACUCCGAAAUAGCUUUAGGGCUAGCCUCAAGUGAUGAUUAUUGGAGGUAGAGCACUGUUUGGACGAGGGGCCCCUCUCGGGUUACCGAAUUCAGACAAACUCCGAAUGCCAAUUAAUUUAACUUGGGAGUCAGAACAUGGGUGAUAAGGUCCGUGUUCGAAAGGGAAACAGCCCAGACCACCAGCUAAGGUCCCAAAAUAUAUGUUAAGUGGAAAAGGAUGUGGCGUUGCCCAGACAACUAGGAUGUUGGCUUAGAAGCAGCCAUCAUUUAAAGAGUGCGUAAUAGCUCACUAGUCGAGUGACACUGCGCCGAAAAUGUACCGGGGCUAAACAUAUUACCGAAGCUGUGGAUUGUCCUUUGGACAAUGGUAGGAGAGCGUUCUAAGGGCGUCGAAGCAUGAUCGCAAGGACAUGUGGAGCGCUUAGAAGUGAGAAUGCCGGUGUGAGUAGCGAAAGACGGGUGAGAAUCCCGUCCACCGAUUGACUAAGGUUUCCAGAGGAAGGCUCGUCCGCUCUUGGGUUAGUCGGGUCCUAAGCUGAGGCCGACAGGCGUAGGCGAUGGAUAACAGCUUGAUAUUCCUGUACCACCUAGUAUCGUUUUAAUCGAUGGGGGGACGCAGUAGGAUAGGCGAAGCGUGCUGUUGGAGUGCACGUCCAAGCAGUAAGGCUGAGUGUUAGGCAAAUCCGGCACUCAUAAGGCUGAGCUGUGAUGGUGAGAGGAAAUUGUUUCCUCGAGUCGUUGAUUUCACACUGCCGAGAAAAGCCUCUAGAUAGAUAACAGGUGCCCGUACCGCAAACCGACACACGUAGUCAAGAUGAGAAUUCUAAGGUGAGCGAGCGAACUCUCGUUAAGGAACUCGGCAAAAUGACCCCGUAACUUCGGGAGAAGGGGUGCUCUUUAGGGUUCACGCACAGAAGAGCCGCAGUGAAUAGGCCCAAGCGACUGUUCAUCAAAAACACAGGUCUCUGCUAAACCGUAAGGUGAUGUAUAGGGGCUGACGCCUGCCAGGUGCUGGAAGGUUAAGAGGAGUGGUUAGCUUCUGCGAAGCUACGAAUCGAAGCCCCAGUAAACGGCGGCCGUAACUAUAACGGUCCUAAGGUAGCGAAAUUCCUUGUCGGGUAAGUUCCGACCCGCACGAAAGGCGUAACGAUUUGGGCACUGUCUCAACGAGAGACUCGGUGAAAUCAUAGUACCUGUGAAGAUGCAGGUUACCCGCGACAGGACGGAAAGACCCCGUGGAGCUUUACUGUAGCCUGAUAUUGAAAUUCGGCACAGCUUGUACAGGAUAGGUAGGAGCCUUUGAAACGUGAGCGCUAGCUUACGUGGAGGCGUUGGUGGGAUACUACCCUAGCUGUGUUGGCUUUCUAACCCGCACCACUUAUCGUGGUGGGAGACAGUGUCAGGCGGGCAGUUUGACUGGGGCGGUCGCCUCCUAAAAGGUAACGGAGGCGCUCAAAGGUUCCCUCAGAAUGG
rnacentral:rRNA from 1 species